ensembl:snoRNA
UGCAGCCUUGUCAAAUUCAGUGCUCCCUUCUCUAUGGGUAUCACUGGCCAAAAUGGCUGCCACAGUAAAGGUGUAGUUCAUGGGCCCCACAGUGCUACAAUAUGGCUGCUGGGGAUAAAAAUGUCCUACACACAUGU